UUUAUAUAGUGUUAUUCUCUAGUUGUCUAUUAACAACGGUCGUGAUUCUUUCUUCGGUUUUGGAGUUUCUAUGUUAUAUUCUUGUGUUGUGAUUGUGUUCCUCUUUUUUCUCUAUAUUUUAUUUAUUUAUUCCCAACACAGAGAAGUGGUCGAUCUCUCUUCUACUUCUCUCUCAACUCUCUCUUUUUUCUACUUCUACUCUUCUAAUCACACUUACCCUAAAAAAAUGGUGUGGGCAAAAAC
rnacentral:lncRNA from 1 species